ACUCAAGAGGGAUUUGCUUGGCUGUGUGUGCAUGACACAUAAUGAAAACAAUUUUAUGCUGUGGAGGGAAGUAUCGGGCAAUUACUGAUGUAACAGCCACCUGCAGAAGCGAGCCCCUGGUUGGAGCACAGGGCUGUUCAUGAAUAUUUUAUGUGAGCCAUGGUGUUAACACCAAGAAGAAUUCUGACCCUGCCCAGGGCUCUGCCGGAGCAGCUGAAGCUGAGGAAAGAUGAUGUGACAAGUCAUGGUGGGCACUCUUUAAAACCUCUUGUCUGCCAAUUUUACACAUGAUGUUCAUCUCAAAGAGCCCCUGCAUAAAUCUUGUCCAACUUAAUUUGAUAAGCUAAGUGGUGGAUAAGGAUUAAAUGAGAAUCUGGUAAUGGA